UACGGGGGGAGCAAGCGUUGUUCGGAUUUACUGGGCGUAAAGGGCGCGUAGGCGGCCAGCACAAGUCAGUUGUGAAAUCUCCGAGCUUAACUCGGAAAGGUCAACUGAUACUGUGCGGCUAGAGUGCGGAGGGGGCAACUGGAAUUCUUGGUGUAGCGGUGAAAUGCGUAGAUAUCAAGAGGAACACCUGCGGCGAAGGCGGGUUGCUGGGCCGACACUGACGCUGAGGCGCGAAAGCUAGGGGAGCGAACGGG
rnacentral:rRNA from 1 species